rnacentral:rRNA from 1 species
AAAUUGAAGAGUUUGAUCAUGGCUCAGAUUGAACGCUGGCGGCAGGCCUAACACAUGCAAGUCGAACGGUAACAGGAAGCAGCUUGCUGCUUCGCUGACGAGUGGCGGACGGGUGAGUAAUGUCUGGGAAACUGCCUGAUGGAGGGGGAUAACUACUGGAAACGGUAGCUAAUACCGCAUAAUGUCGCAGGACCAAAGAGGGGGACCUUCGGGCCUCUUGCCAUCAGAUGUGCCCAGAUGGGAUUAGCUUGUUGGUGAGGUAACGGCUCACCAAGGCGACGAUCCCUAGCUGGUCUGAGAGGAUGACCAGCCACACUGGAACUGAGACACGGUCCAGACUCCUACGGGAGGCAGCAGUGGGGAAUAUUGCACAAUGGGCGCAAGCCUGAUGCAGCCAUGCCGCGUGUAUGAAGAAGGCCUUCGGGUUGUAAAGUACUUUCAGCGGGGAGGAAGGUGUUGUGGUUAAUAACCACAGCAAUUGACGUUACCCGCAGAAGAAGCACCGGCUAACUCCGUGCCAGCAGCCGCGGUAAUACGGAGGGUGCAAGCGUUAAUCGGAAUUACUGGGCGUAAAGCGCACGCAGGCGGUCUGUCAAGUCGGAUGUGAAAUCCCCGGGCUCAACCUGGGAACUGCAUUCGAAACUGGCAGGCUUGAGUCUUGUAGAGGGGGGUAGAAUUCCAGGUGUAGCGGUGAAAUGCGUAGAGAUCUGGAGGAAUACCGGUGGCGAAGGCGGCCCCCUGGACAAAGACUGACGCUCAGGUGCGAAAGCGUGGGGAGCAAACAGGAUUAGAUACCCUGGUAGUCCACGCCGUAAACGAUGUCUACUUGGAGGUUGUGCCCUUGAGGCGUGGCUUCCGGAGCUAACGCGUUAAGUAGACCGCCUGGGGAGUACGGCCGCAAGGUUAAAACUCAAAUGAAUUGACGGGGGCCCGCACAAGCGGUGGAGCAUGUGGUUUAAUUCGAUGCAACGCGAAGAACCUUACCUGGUCUUGACAUCCACAGAACUUUCCAGAGAUGGAUUGGUGCCUUCGGGAACUGUGAGACAGGUGCUGCAUGGCUGUCGUCAGCUCGUGUUGUGAAAUGUUGGGUUAAGUCCCGCAACGAGCGCAACCCUUAUCCUUUGUUGCCAGCGGUCCGGCCGGGAACUCAAAGGAGACUGCCAGUGAUAAACUGGAGGAAGGUGGGGAUGACGUCAAGUCAUCAUGGCCCUUACGACCAGGGCUACACACGUGCUACAAUGGCGCAUACAAAGAGAAGCGACCUCGCGAGAGCAAGCGGACCUCAUAAAGUGCGUCGUAGUCCGGACUGGAGUCUGCAACUCGACUCCAUGAAGUCGGAAUCGCUAGUAAUCGUGGAUCAGAAUGCCACGGUGAAUACGUUCCCGGGCCUUGUACACACCGCCCGUCACACCAUGGGAGUGGGUUGCAAAAGAAGUAGGUAGCUUAACCUUCGGGAGGGCGCUUACCACUUUGUGAUUCAUGACUGGGGUGAAGUCGUAACAAGGUAACCGUAGGGGAACCUGCGGUUGGAUCACCUCCUUA